rnacentral:rRNA from 1 species
GAUGAACGCUGACAGAAUGCUUAACACAUGCAAGUCAACUUGAAUUUGGGUUUUUAACUUCGGUUUGGGUGGCGGACGGGUGAGUAACGCGUAAAGAACUUGCCUCACAGCUAGGGACAACAUUUGGAAACGAAUGCUAAUACCUAAUAUUAUGAUAAUAGGGCAUCCUAUAAUUAUGAAAGCUAUAAGCGCUGUGAGAGAGCGUUGCGUCCCAUUAGCUAGUUGGAGAGGUAACGGAUCACACAGGCGAUGAUGGGUAGCCGGCCUGAGAGGGUGAUCGGCCACAAGGUCACUGAGACACCGCCCUUACUCCUACGUCAGGCAGCAGUGAGGAAUAUUGGACAAUGGACCAAGAGUCUGAUCCAGCAAUUCUGUGUGCACGAUUAAGUUUUUCGGGAUGUAAAGUGCUUUCAGUUGGGAAGAAAGAAAUGACGGUACCAACAGAAGAAGUGACGGCUAAAUACGUG